UACGGGGGGGGCAAGCGUUGUUUCGGAAUUACUGGGCGUAAAGGGCUUGUAGGUGGCCAACUAAGUCAGACGUGAAAUCCCUCGGCUUAACCGGGGAACUGCGUCUGAUACUGGAUGGCUUGAGUGUGGGAGAGGGAUGCGGAAUUCCAGGUGUAGCGGUGAAAUGCGUAGAUAUCUGGAGGAACACCGGUGGCGAAGGCGGCAUCCUGGACCAUUACUGACACUGAAAAGCGAAAGCCAGGGGAGCAAACGGG
rnacentral:rRNA from 1 species